GAGCAACGCCAGCCAGAGAAGCUGAACAACAAUAAACUAUCACACCAGCAUGGCCAGUUCAAGUUUUAGCAGUGUUAUACAGUUGACAGACUUGGAUGACUUCAUAACUCCAUCACAAAGUGCAUUAAGACAGCUAAAACACAAAAUGCUAGACAAGUUACAUCUUCAGGAAGUGCCAAAAUCCAAAUUGGGGAUGAUGGCUCUUACACGCAAUUUAACAAGGUGGAAUUCAUAUAAUUUUAUUUUUAGCAGUUUAAUGUACCCAGUUAAUCUAUUUUUAUGUGAGAUGACACCAAUAUUCUGGUCAACCGUAAAGAGUUUGGUUAUGUCACAGGUUUCCAUCAACUAGAUUAUCUAAUUUGAGCAAUUUAUCAAACUCCCAUGAAGGUAGAAAGGAGACCAACACCUCCAAAGAGUAUUCAUUCACCUAAAUUCUGGGCUACGUGCAGUUAGACAAAUUCCAUUAUUAUAGGACAUUUUAGGAUACAUUUUAAUUUAUCUACAUUGAAUUUAAUAUUUUUCUCUUGUAAAAAUAAGUAACAGGUGCAGAUUGGGUUUAUGAUUUGGCAAUUCAUGUAUUAGCUUUCAUAAUUUAAUAAUGGUUUAGCAUACAUUUCUGCUUGAUCUUCAACAGAAAACUGGAAUAAAAAAUAUUACUUUCCAUGUUUUCUUAAGGAAGGAAGACCUGGAAAUUACAAAAAGCACAAAUAACACUUAACGACUGUUUGGCGUGCAGGUGGUUUUAAUGAUGAGCAGAAUCAAAUUGGUAGGUGUAAUAAUACUAUAGUAAUUAUAAUGGUUGUAUAACAUCGGUGGGAGUGUUUUGAUUGGCCAAGAAAACCAUAUGGAGUUCCUGAAGCUAUGCAAAUAAGCCAUUGAGCUAUCAUCACCUAGCAGAUUCUUUCUUAAAAUUGUAGUGGGACUCCCAUGCCAACUUAUUCUUUUAUUUGCAAACAAGUUUCAAAUACCCCCUGAAGAAGCAAGAGCCAAACUUUCAACUCUUUUUAGGCAACUGGCCGCGUCAAAAGUAUUUGAUGUGGAAUCAUUUUCAGACCUGUGUUUAGUUGAGUGUGGCCAGGACUUUGUUCAUCGUUACAGAGAACAAUCAACUAAUUCAACAUCGAUACCCGUACUUGCAUUUGCUUGCCCUGGCUGGAAUGCUUCGCCGACAAAACUCAUGGAAAUUGGAUUUUGUCACAUCUUAGCGAGAUCAAAUCUCCGCAGCAAAUAGCGGGCGUCUUUAUGAUAGAUGUACUGCCCAACGAACUUCAAACGAGUGCCUCUCCUCUGGCUGUCGCCAUGAUUAUGCCAUGCUUCGAUAAAAAAGUAGAGGCUUCGAGAAGUGACUUUUUUCACGACGACCAACAAAGCAAAGAUGUCAACUUUGUUAUAACUCCCGUAGAAAUCGAGCAGAUACUGGAAGAAUUAGCUGUUGAAUUCGUUGACUUAAGUCUAUCUCAAGUUGAUUCUCUGGGUGGUACAAUGGAUACAUUAUGGAGCAUACCGUCUGGAUCUGGUUAAGGAGGUUAUGCAAAACAUGUUCUACGUUUUGCUGCCAAGGAGCUUUACGGCAAGAUACAGGGACAUGGUAAGUUUCAGCCACUAAAAAACUUGGACAUCAGGGAAGCUUUCGUUGAAAAACAUGGCGAGCAAGUUUUAAGUGUGGCUAUUGCCAACGGAUUCUAAAAUAUUCAAAACCUUGUACAAAAAAUGAAGCGAAAGAAACGUACUUAUCAUUAAGUCGAAAUUAUGGCCUGUCCAUCCGGUUGCCUGGUAAGGCUUGCCAAGAGUUAAAGCAUAGAAAAGUCCAAAGGGAAUUUGUGCUUUCUGAAAUGAAAGCCUUCCCUCCUGUUUCAGACAAGGUCAGAGCAGCCGUUUAACGACUAUACGACAUGGAACGUCCAUGCUUUACGUUCCUGGAAGUCUAGUCUCAGGAGUCUGUACCAGUCCUUCUAGAAUGCUAGGAUUGGUGAUAUAGGAAUACACCCUCUUUUUAUGAGUAAAACGCCCCUUCAACCAAUAGGAAUCGCUUUAAGAGAAUUCGUCUGGCAGAUAACCAUUGCAGCACGUAUUGCUGUUCCAGUCGCUCCAGAGGUGUGUUGCAUUGGUUGUUCUUGGCUGUUCUCGAAAUUGGGUUGCUGCUUCUCAGUCUCUGAUAAAUGCUCAGAUGGGAUGCUUUGCUUUCAAAUUUUCUGCUCCGCUACUCUUGUCAGAAAUGGAUAAAUAGUAGCAUAGUAGAACUUUAGAUAGCAAAGCCUGUCAUGCGGGCAUUGUAGUGACUUCCAUUUUAUUAUUUCUGGCGGACAUUUUGUUUUAAAUCGGUGUAAGUGUGCAUGUGUUAAGUAAAAAGUCAAAUUUUA